GUCUAUGGCCAUACCACCCUGAACAUGCCCGAUCUCAUCUGAUCUCGGAAGCUAAGCAGGGUAGGGCCUGGUCAGUACUUGGAUGGUUUCAUUUUUUUAAUUGUGUAAUUAUACCAC
rfam:Mesocricetus auratus contig183998, whole genome shotgun sequence.